GAAAUGCGAUAAGUAAUGUGAAUUGCAGAAUUUAGUGAAUCAUCGAAUCUUUGAACGCACAUUGCACCUCUUGGUAUUCCUUGAGGUAUACCUGUUCGAGCGCCGUUUGUGUCAUAAGGCUCUGUCUUGCGAUGAUGGAAUCCGCGAUGGAUCUGUCGAAACAAAUGGGCGUCUGGUCCAUGUCCGACUUGCAGCGAAGAUGCGAAAAGGACAGGAGGAGGCGGCAUGUUUAAUUCUAAGCAUGGCCUCGGAUCAGGUAGGGAUACCCGCUGAACUUAA
rnacentral:misc_RNA from 1 species